rnacentral:rRNA from 1 species
GACGAACGCUGGCGGCGUGCCUAAUACAUGCAAGUUGAGCGCUGAAGGUUGGUACUUGUACCGACUGGAUGAGCAGCGAACGGGUGAGUAACGCGUGGGGAAUCUGCCUUUGAGCGGGGGACAACAUUUGGAAACGAAUGCUAAUACCGCAUAAAAACUUUAAACACAAGUUUUAAGUUUGAAAGAUGCAAUUGCAUCACUCAAAGAUGAUCCCGCGUUGUAUUAGCUAGUUGGUGAGGUAAAGGCUCACCAAGGCGAUGAUACAUAGCCGACCUGAGAGGGUGAUCGGCCACAUUGGGACUGAGACACGGCCCAAACUCCUACGGGAGGCAGCAGUAGGGAAUCUUCGGCAAUGGACGAAAGGCUGACCGAGCAACGCCGCGGGAGUGAAGAAGGGUUUCGGAUCGUAAAACUCUGUUGGUAGAGAAGAACGUUGGUGAGAGUGGAAAGCUCAUCAAGUGACGGUAACUACCCAGAAAGGGACGGCUAACUACGUG